CUUGGCUCUGGGAGGGCAUAGCCUUGGACUAGCCACCACGACUGCACUUCUUGGACAGCUUGCGAUUCUAGACCCAGCCCAUCCGCCAUUUUUUCCAGCUAAUGCUCUGAAGGACUGCAUCCAGACAGCAUUCUGUGGGC
rnacentral:lncRNA from 14 species